UACGUAGGGUGCAAGCGGUGACCGAAUUUAUUGGGUUUACAGGGAGCGGAGGCGGCCUAUUGCGGUAGUGGUUAAAACGUGCGGCUUAACCGGAUACCCGCCAUUGAUACUGAUAGACUUGAGUGCGACAGAGGGUGUUGGAAUGUGUGAUGUAGCGGUGAAAUGCAUAGAUAUGUCACAGAACACCAAUUGCGAAGGCAGCUGGCUGGGUCUACUUUGACGCUGAGGCACGAAAGCGUGGGGAGCGAACAGG
rnacentral:rRNA from 1 species